rnacentral:misc_RNA from 1 species
AAGUCGUAACAAGGUUUCCGUAGGUGAACCUGCGGAAGGAUCAUUAACGAAUAACUAUGGUGUCUUGGUUGUAGCUGGCUCCUCGGAGCAUUGUGCACGCCCGCCAUUUUUAUCUAUCCACCUGUGCACCGACUGUAGGUCUGGAUGACUCUCGCACUCCCCGAGUGCGGAUGCGGGGAUUGCCCUCUUCACGGAGGUGUCUCUCCUCGAAUUUCCAGGCUCUACGUCUUUUUACACACCCCAAAAGUAUGAUAUAGAAUGUAGUCAAUGGGCUUGAUCGCCUAUAAAACACUAUACAACUUUCAGCAACGGAUCUCUUGGCUCUC